rnacentral:rRNA from 1 species
CCUACGGGGGAAAAAUUUAUUGCUAUUAGAUGAGCCUAUAUUAGAUUAGCUAGUUGGUGGAGUAAUAGCCUACCAAGGCAAUGAUCUAUAGCUGAUCUGAGAGGAUGAUCAGCCACACUGGAACUGAGAUACGGUCCAGACUCCUACGGGAGGCAGCAGUGGGGAAUAUUGGACAAUGGGCGAAAGCCUGAUCCAGCCAUGCCGCAUGAGUGAAGAAGGCCUUUGGGUUGUAAAGCUCUUUUAGUGAGGAAGAUAAUGACGGUACUCACAGAAGAAGUCCUGGCUAACUCCGUGCCAGCAGCCGCGGUAAUACGGAGAGGGCUAGCGUUAUUCGGAAUUAUUGGGCGUAAAGGGCGCGUAGGCGGAUUAGUAAGUUAAAAGUGAAAUCCCAAGGCUCAACCUUGGAAUUGCUUUUAAAACUGCUAAUCUAGAGAUUGAAAGAGGAUAGAGGAAUUCCUAGUGUAGAGGUGAAAUUCGUAAAUAUUAGGAGGAACACCAGUGGCGAAGGCGUCUAUCUGGCUCAAAUCUGACGCUGAGGCGCGAAGGCGUGGGGAGCAAACAGGAUUAGAUACCCUGGUAGUCCACGCUGUAAACGAUGAAUGUUAAAUAUGGGAAGUUUUACUUUCUGUAUUACAGCUAACGCGUUAAACAUUCCGCCUGGGGACUACGGUCGCAAGAUUAAAACUCAAAGGAAUUGACGGGGACCCGCACAAGCGGUGGAGCAUGUGGUUUAAUUCGAUGCAACGCGAAAAACCUUACCACUCCUUGACAUGGAAAUUAUACCUAUUCGAAGGGAUAGG